UUUUUCAUUUUUACUAUCAGCACCACCAGGAGAUUACCAGCAUGCGCCCCAUCUGGGCUUUGGCUGGUCUAAGAAGCCCAUCCGUUUCCUUUAAUGGUCAUGCGCCCUGGUGGACAUAGGAGACAUUUCAGGGCCUAUUUUUUUUUUUUUUUGUGUUAGCAUAGGUUUAAUUUAAAUUUAUUUGAUUCAAACAUGAUUUUUAUUUGUUUUACUAAAAUCUUACUAUCAUAGUUAUUUAAUAA
rnacentral:lncRNA from 1 species